rnacentral:lncRNA from 1 species
GAGAAUAAGUCAUAAUUUAGCAACAUAUGCUUGUUUUCUCUCAAAAUUCAUCAAGAAUAAGUAUAGGGUUUUCAUAGGAGCUUCAAGAAUUAAGGAAUUUCACCGUUAAUCUUCAAGAAUCUUUCAUCUAAGGUAUGCAUAGUAUUGAUUCAUGGAUUCCUUUCAUCCAUGAAACUCAAAAACCCUCUUUCAAAUCUAUAAAUCAUGAUAUUUAUGUUGUGGGUUGAUUAUAACCAUGUUGUUGAUGUAAAAUAAAUUUUAAUUCCAUGAGUCAUCUCAAGAAAUCAUGAAAACUAAUUUAUUUUGUAUUAUUAUUCAUAUGAACUUUAUGUUGAGUUCUUGAAAUUGCAAGUUGAAAUUUGAUGACCAUGUUGUUGGUGUUGGAUGAUUCCCAAGUUGGAAUCUUUAGGUGAUUUUAUGAAACAUGUUAAUAUAUAAGUUGAAAUCCAUAAAUUUGGUGGUUUAAGAUUUGUUGAAUUGAUGAUUUUACCUAUGUNNNNNNNNNNNNNNNNNNNNNNNNNNNNNNAACCUUGUUGGGUUGUUCAUGAACUAGCUCUAUGGAUUUAUGCCAUGUCUAUUUGCAAUCCCAUUUAUGUACAAGAUUGUGAUAACCAUGUAUGUUAUGAAAUUCCCCAAGUUAUGGUAUUGUGGAUUGUUGAUGUUGGUCAUGUAUUUAAGAAAGUCAUGCUUUGUCUGUUUCCUUCUAUCGAGUCUUGGGGUACUUGUACCCGAAAAAUAUAGCUGUGUGUCUAGAGCCAUGUCAUGUUUUCACUAUAUCCUCAGUCAAGCCAUGUUCAGUAGAAUUCAGUGAGUCAUGUGACUCAGGAAAAAUCUCAGUAAUCUCAUGAACUUAGUCAAUAACAGAAUUCGGUAACAUUCUGUCAGACAACGAAAUUCAGUAAACUCAGUAAACUCAGUCCAUGUACCAUUCGGUUUAUCAUGUUCAUUGUCUGUUUAGAUGGGAGUAGUAAUUAGCACCGAGUGAACUCAAGAAUAGGAACUUACCUGCCAGUAGAGGGUGUGAUUCUUAGAAGCAAUUCUUGCUUUCCAGAACUACGUAGCCAAUGUAGGUUGAGACAUCAAUACCUGUCAGUUGAGGGUAGAUGAGGUGGUUUAACCUGUCAGAUGAGGGUUCCCAUCAUUCUCAUUAGAGUACCUACCAGAUGAGGGUCACUCACAGCUUGUCUUUACCAGUGGCGUGGUAUUGACGCCCUUUCAGUCGGGGUACAGAUUGAACCCCAGCUCAGCUAUAAUAACAAUAUAUGGGGCAUGUCGGUUAGAUAACUAUUUCCCACAGUCUCAGAAUUAGUAUCAGUAAAAGAACUCAGAUAGUUCUUCAGAAUAUCAGGGUCGUCAGAUACAGUCACUCAUGUUAUCAGUUAUCAGAACUGUCAGAUAUAGCCAAUAGUAUCAGUCAUAUCAGUUAUCAGUAAACUCAUGAUAUCGGUACCCAGACUCAGUAAUCAUGUAUCAUGAUCUCAGUUACAGUCAUUAUGUAUUCUCAUGUUCAUGUUAGUCAGUAUUGUUCAUGCAUAUGAACCCCAUGCAUUAGCUUACCUCACUUGCAUACUCAGUACAUUCAAUUGAACUAACGCAUUCGCACUAUGGCAUUUUAUUUUAUACCAUAGGGUCAGAAGCACGAGCUCCAGAGCACCAGUAGCAUUUCAGUUUCAGCAGCAGAGUCGCAGUGAGUCCUCAUACUUCGAGGACUAUUAAGCUAUCAAUACUUAUUUCAGUUGCUUUCAGUAUAUGGAGUUAGUUGGGAACAUGUCCCCUCAACUCCUUAUUCAAACAUAUGUAGAGGCUUUCAGAUUUGAUUCAGACUUUAGUAUUUUU